rnacentral:rRNA from 1 species
GACGAACGCUGGCGGCGUGCUUAACACAUGCAAGUCGAACGGAAGGGCCCAGACUUUGUGGGGUGCUCGAGUGGCGAACGGGUGAGAAACACGUGAGGAACCUGCCCUAGACUUUGGGAUAACUUCAGGAAACUGGGGAUAAUUUCCGAUGGGAGCUCCAGCGGCAAGGUGUGGGUUGGAAAGUGUCGGCUGUUGGGGAUAGGUUCGGGGCUUCUCAGCUUGCUGGUGGGGUCAGGGCUUACCAGGGCAUUGACGGGAUGCCGGCCUGAGAGGGUGACCGGCCACAUUAGGACUGAGAUACGGCCCAGACUCCUACGGGAGGCAGCAGUGGGGAAUAUUGCACUAUGGGCGGAAGCCUGAUGCAGCACCGCCGAGUGCGGGAUGACGGCCUUCGGGUUGUAAACCGCUUUCGCCUGUGACGAAGCGUGAGUGACGGUAAUGGGAAAAUAAGCACCGGCUAACUACGUG